ACUCAUCUAGUUAGCCCCUUGCACUCCUCAGUGAUAUGUACAGCUAGAGAGAGAUAUGCAGGCAAAACUGAUGUUGUUGAUAUGAUCACGGGAUAGGAUCAGACUAUACAACCUACUCCAGGUGAUACACAGUUAGCUCAUGUCACUCCUUCCUUGAGCUCUGAGCAUGUGCGUAGGAGAGAUUCUUUAGAUGCUGUUAGUAUACAGGACUCCCCCUCAGAUGGUUGCUCAGUUCGUAGCCGACAUGAU